CUCUUCAGCGGUGGUUUGGGGAGAUACCAUCGUUUUAGGGGAAGAGGCUACAGGGGUGAAAGCCAUGUGUGAAUUCCAGGGCUACAGUGAGCUUCUGAAGAGAGGAAGAGAAGGAGAUGGAGGAGAAAGCAAGAAGACAGGAAAAAGAAAGGAAGAAGGAAGAGAAGAGGAGAGACAGAUAGCCUUAGCUGGAAGAGUCGGGGAAAGCUUCCGCUGAGCCGUUGUAGAUGCUUGCUUGACUUUUCUACCUCAAGAGUCAGGCAGCUCCGGGCUGAAUUGCUGUUACCUUUGUAGUGUCCUCUGCUUGCGCUAAUGAAAGGCCUUCAGUCGGCGUAUGAAUCUGAGCCUGCCAUUUUUUCAUGAAUACACGCCAUGAGCUGCUCUGGAGCAAUGCAGGCUGUAGAGGAGAAGACUUCAUCUUUCAUAAGCAAAAUGCCAGCACCUUCCGGCGGAAGAGAAUGUUUGGGAGUGGUGCGGCACAGAGGAAAACUGCUCAAGGUGGGGGGGAAAAUGAGCAUUUCAUCUAUGUAAAAGCUUCCUCAUGACAGGAUCAGAAACACUGAGGGGGUAAAGCGGGGAAUGAGAGAGGGUUAAAAGACAAAAAGCUCAUCUACCAUCGGAAGAGAUGAUUAAUCAGAGGGACUAGUGAAAUCUAAGAAUUAAACCAAGAAUUUAAUAUUAUUUUAAAAAGUGACUUUGUAAUUAACUCCUGAGAAAAACCUUGUGAUUCACUCUCACCCACGGAGCUCAAGGGUCCAGUUUUUUCAUCGCUGACGUCACAUCGUCGUCCCUCCCCAGUGAAGGCGCCUCCUCUGUUCAGCUGCCAGAUGAAGGGAGUUGGAUGACUUGGGUCGGGAAGCCGGUUGAAGACGAGAUGAAUGACUUCAGGCUAGAUAUUUAUCACACUGCCAAGCACUAGGCUCCCAGGAACUCACCGGCUAUUUCCGAGGUCCGGCUUCUGGCAUUGGGGUUUCCCUGAGGAUGCUGGGUUCAAAAGAUUGUAUAAGAGUGAUCUAGAGAGGGGUCUUUAUUGGAAGUCAGAAGAUCUGGGUUUAAAUCUGGGCUCUGGUAACUCCUAACUUGGUAAGGAACUUUCAGGGCUAAACCAAUUGGUGAGUUAGGAGGAUGUCUAUACCCAACCAAGCAUGUGAAGACAUCUCCUUGCUGAUGAGAAUGGUUUGUUCCAACGGCCACGAAGGCAACUGAAGCAGGGGAGCCGUUAGAGCUUGGUUAGACAUCAACGAUGCCAAAGUGUAUCCACUGCAUCCAAGGCCAUCCAUCACCAGUCAUCCUCGACUUUCGUCGUGCCAUUGGACUCCUCCAGCUCUGGAAGAGAGAAUGAGGACAAUGACUUUGUACAACUCUGGCUUACCUUAAUCCAAUUUAAAAUAGCACCCUGUGAUGUCAUCUUUCCUCUUAGAAAAAAAAGGAUGAACAACAACAUGACUGUAGUUAAGUUACUUAACCUCUCCAGCUCUCAAUUUUUUCAUUUAUAAAAUGACUAGAUGAUUUCUUUCUUUCUUUUUAAACCCUUACCUUCUAAUCUAGACUUGAUAUUUAAUAUUGGUUCUAAGGCAGAAGAGUGGUAAGGGCUAGGCAAUGGGGGUCAAGUGACUUGCCCAGGGCCACAUAGCUUGUCUGAGGCCAGAUUUGAACAUAGGAAGAAGAGUCUUCCUGAAUUCAGGGCUGGCAUUCUAUCCACUGUGCUACUAAAUGCCCUCUUAAAUCUAGUAAUUUUCCUCUUUUAAUUAUUUCCCAUUUAUCUUCCAUAUAGUUUGUUGUUAUAUUUUUAUUUGCUUGUUGGUUCCCUCGUAUAAGCUCCUUGAGGACAGGGACUAUUUUCCCUCUUUUUGUAUGCCCAGUGCUUAGUACAAGUGCCUGACAAGUAGUAGGUAUUUCUAUUUAUUGACCUACUGAUAUCCCUCAGGAGUUACCAGUAAGAUCCAGUCUAGUAGUGGAUCAAUUCAGUAGUCAAGAUGCUGUUUCCUGCUUCCUGGGAGUAACUUGCCCUUUGGCUAUCCUGUAGAGAAGAGAAGAAGGGGUAGGAGUAGGAGUAGGGAAGAUGGUUAGUAGUUCCCUCUCUCUAGGGACUGAGGUGGUAGAGAGCAGGCUACAUCCUGUUUGGGGUGAUGUAUUUAAUAGCUUUUCAGUAAAUAUUCCUUUGUAAAUGCAAAUUGAUAUUCUUUGGUUAAUUGAUAUCAAACAUAAAUCAAUUGGUUAAAGUGAUAUUGGGGGAGAGCAACAAGGUAGCUCAAUGGAUUGACCACCAGACCUAGAUAUGGGAGGUGUUGGGUCCAAAUCUGACCUCAGACUCUUCCUACGUAUAUGACCUUGAGUAAGCCACUUAACUCUCUUUGCUUAGCCUUCACUGCUUUGGAAUUGAUACACAGUACUGACUGUAAAAUAUGUAGUAGAUGCUCCUCACUAGGAUAUUUGAGGUAGCAUAAAAGUGCUACAGCAAUGACACCAGGAAAUAGGUUAGAGGGAAAGCUAGGAUUCUCACUCCUUCGCCCCACCUCACUUCCUGUCUCUCUCUUAGUUGGUCCUAAUGGCUCUUCUCAAUGUGGCGAGUUAUUAGAAAUGUCAAAAAGACUACUCUCACACUAUGGCUCUUUCUGAAAGGGGUUUAUUCUUAAAGAAGGGAAGUUGGGGAAUGGGGAGAAGGAAAGAGGACUUUGGGGUCUUCCUAAUCUUCUAUGAGAUUUAGUAUAGGGAAGUAAAGUUAAUUUGUCUCUGAGGGGAUAUUGUUGAUAACUGAAAAAGUUCUUCAGAGCUAUGCUCCGAUCUUUUCAAUGUUAAGUCACUAGCCAGGAAUCCAGAGCAGUUUGUCUGCUGGCGCCUUCUCCAGAGUCCAAGAGAAGAAGAAGUAGUAGUUACCAGUUUCAGAUGCUGGCUUUCUUAAAUGCCUCCCUGACCAGAUUCUUCUUUGGAAUCUUCCUUCCUUCUCUCCUUGAUUGACAGUUCCUUCAAGCUUCCAUUUCCUUGCAUUUGUUUGCCAAUCUCUCGGAUGUUAUAAGAAGGCAAUUUCUUCAAGAGCCAAAGAAUACAUGUUAUAUGAGGUUGAAGGAACUGGAGGUAUUUUAGUUUGAAGAAGAGAAGACUCAGAGGACAUGGCAUAUGGCUGUGUUUAAGAAUCUGAAGGACUGCUAUAUGGAGAAGGGACUAGACUUGCUCUUCUUUGUCCCAGGAGGCAGAAUCAGAAACAAAUAAUUGUUGUUCUUCAGUUGUUUCAGUAGAGCCCAACUCUUUGAGACCCUGUUUGGAGUUUUCUUGACAAAGAUGAGAAAACUGAGACACAGAAAAAGAGUAAUAACUUUCCAAAGUUCACCUACAUCGUAAGUACCAUGGUCUGAUUUAAAACCCAAGUCUUCUGACUCUAAAUAUGUGCAGUGUUCUUCCCAAGACACCACACGGAGGGAGAAAAGGACACCAGUUCACCCUAUGGAAGUACUUGUAGGCACCAGCCAGUGGAGCCAUCUGCAUCUGGUCAGAGGCAGGGCUUCCUUGGAUGAGACCUGGGUCUCACCCUGGGCAUCACCUGGGUGCUCCAAGACCUUAGUGAGGUAGAGGCUGGGAGGUUUUGUCUGUCCUUAUGCCCAUCUACCAUGGUCAUUAUCCACUGCUGAAAGUUUUAGGGAACUGGACACAGGACAUCUGUAUUUUAUUGGGGAAUGAGGAGGGAGGAAGCACAAAAUGAUGGAAGAUGUGUCAGAUUUGCAAUUGCAAUCAGAUCAAUAUGACAGUAAAGGAAAAUAAGUGUUGGAGGGGUUGUGGCAAAAUUGGAACACUAAUGCAUUGCUGGUGGAAUUGUGAAUUAAUUCAACCAUUCUGGAAGGCAAUUUGGAAUUAUGCCCAAAGGGCUUUAAAAAUGCCUACUAGCAAUACCACUGCUGGGUUUGUACCCCAAAGGGAUAAUGAGGAAAAAGACUUGUACAAGAAUAUUCAUAGCUGCACUCUUUGUGGUGGCCAAAAACUGGAAAACAAGGGGAUGCCCAUCAAUUGGGGAAUGGCUGAACAAAUUGUGGUAUAUGUUGGUGAUGGAAUACUAUUGUGCUCAAAGGAAUAAUGAACCGGAGGGCUUCUAUAUGAAGUGAAAAGACCUUCGAGAACUGAUGCAAAGGGAAAUGAGCACAACCAAGAGAACUUUGUACAGUGAAAGGGAAACAUUGUGGAGCUAUCCAAUGUAAUGGACUUUACUACUCUACAGUAAUUCAGCACAGUCCUGAGGGACUUAUGAGAAGGAAAGCUAUCCACACUGAGAGAAAGAACUGUGGGAGUAGAAAUGUAAAAGAAAAACUUGCGACUUAGCACCUGUUUAUAUGGGCAUAUGAUUUGGGGUUUCAGCUCUAAAAGAUUGCUCUACAGCAAAAAUGAAUAACGUAGAAGUAGGCAUCUAAUGAUAACAUUGUACAACCCAGUGGAAUUGCUUGUCCGCUCUGGGAGGAGGGAGGGAAAGAAAAUGAAUCAUGUAAACAUGGAAAAUAUUUUUUAAAAAAGAUUUACAAUCACAAUCAAAUUACAUUUGGGUUUGGAAUUUUCUGAUGUCUCUAGGCAAGCCAAUGCUUUUCUCAGGGCCUCUAGAGAUAUUACUAGCAGUUUCGAUGCCCAGAGAAAUCUUCACAAAAGGUACCUAGGGAAAGGAGCAAUAAAUAUUUCCUCAAAUCAGCCUUUGAGACAAAUUCAGAUGGAGGUAGCAGUGGAGAGAACCUGGGACACCAUGCCCUGCGGAUGGAGAAGACAGGAAUCCCUCAGGACUCAAUUAGCUAAUAAAGCAGGAUGGGGAAACUUUGGCCCAGAGCAGUGAAAUGGCUUGACCAGCGGCAUAAAGGUCCACAAGGAGAAGAGCUGGAAUUGGAAGCCAUGUUGCCUGACUCCAAAUCAACUCUCCAUGACCCUGCAGGCACAUCUGGGUCCCAUCACAGCUGCCCAGGAGAAUGACUUCGGUGGGAAGGGCAAAAAGGAAAAGAGCUCCAAGUUCCUGCUCCAGAGGGCUGGUAGAAGCCAUUCAUCUCCAUCCAUCUUUAGUACUAGAGGGCAGCAGCAGACUUUGCCCUCUGGGAUUUAUUUGGUGGGGAAGGAAUUUGGGGAAUAUGUUACUGACUCAGCUGUUCUGAGAAACAGCCAAGGCUAACUGGGAGGCCCAGAGGAGGCCAACACCCUGAGAGCCCAGCUGGUGAUGUCAUGGUUUCUUGCAAGCAACAACGUUCAGAUUUUCCAAUGCUGCAUUCACAGACAGAAAUAUUAUGUUGUGACCAACUCUGAAGGAAUAAACUAUUAUCAUCAGCAAAGCAAGACUCCAAGAUAGCUCCAAGGGACUCAUGAUGAAGAAUUCCAUCCACAGUCAUAGAAAGAAUUGUCUGAGUCUGGUCGCAGAUCAAAGCAUGCCAUAUUUCACUUUAUUUUCUUCAGGAGUUUUUUUUCUUGUAUGUGUGACAUGUGACUUCUUUCAUGGUGUGAGGAAUAUGGAAGUACAUAGUGCAUGACAGCACUUGUAUAACCUAUAUGCACCCUCAGGAGAGAGAGAAGGAGAAAACCUGGAUUGCAAAAUUCCAGAUAAAAAUUACUAAAAACUAUUUCUAUAUAUAAUUUAAAAAAAACCCAGGAGCCCCCCCCCCCAAAAAAAAGAUUUGCUGAAUUGUUGAAUUGAAAAUGGUAUUCAUAUUCUUAGUCAAUUGCAGUUUUAGUGGAGGGGUCCUGGUCCCGCAAUUUAACCAUUUGUAGGGGAUUCCUAUGUGCAGACUCCUUCCAUUGAUAUAGCCUGGUAUUAGGGUAAUAGAACAUAAAGAUAUGGGGCCCAAGAGGUUAUCUUCACAUCAGUCCAGGUUGAAUGCUUCCUCUUGGGGGGGGGAUUGAAGUAGUCCCCAAAGGGGAUCAUAAAAUUGAAGUAGAUAAAGCAGAUCAAUUCCUUUCUGCAUUUUUAGGGAACAGACCCAGCUUCCUUCCCCCCAGGAGGUUAAGCUGCUUAUGCAGGCAGCAGACCAGACUCUGCUUAGCUUGGGGAUGAGAAUUAGGAAGGGCAAGAAACAAAGGAAUUUCAGGACUAUCAAAGCGGUCAGGAUGGAAUGCAAGAUAACACUUAGCAAACUAGGGAGAAGUGUAUUAAGGUACCUGUAAAAGUUAACCCCUGGAUAAGAUAUUGUCUCUCACUACACCUACCUGUGUUUGUGAUGUUUGUCUGUCAAAUGAGAACCUGUAUAUGAAAGGGAUUAACUUUGUAUCUUGUAACCUAUAUAAGCUAUCCUGUAAUGUCAAUCUGAUGCAGCUUCCACUAGGGAUGUCUGUCCCAGCUGGUAGAUUCUUUAUUAAUCAAUAAAUGAUUCCAAUAAUUGAA